UCCGUAGGUGAACCUGCGGAAGGAUCAUUAACGAAAUAUUUCCGACAUUCGUGUCGGAAUAAAUCAUCUUACACCUGUGAAAAUACGAAUCUUUGCUUUGGCUUGGGUGAAAACUCGAGCCAAAAGAUCAAAACCUUACAAUUUUAACCUGAGUCUGAGAAAGAAAAGAAUAAAUUAUUCAAAACUUUCAGCAACGGAUCUCUUGGUUCUCGCAUCGAUGAAGAACGCAGCGAAAUGCGAUACGUAAUGUGAAUUGCAGAAUUGUGAAUCAUCGAAUCUUUGAACGCACAUUGCGCCUUUUGGUAUUCCAAAAGGCAUACCUGUUUGAGAGUCAUUUCAUUCUCAAAAACCUAGUUUUUGGUAUUGGUUCUUAUCUUUCGCGAGAAAGUGAACUGAAAUGAAAUGGCAAAGCCUCGAUUUUUUGUCAAAAGUGUCUUAGGUUUUACCAACUACACUUGCGUAACGAAAUUUCGAAUUCAAGCUUGGCCUUACAACAGCCUUUUUAAGUUGACCUCAAAUCAGGUAGGGAUACCCGCUGAACUUAAGCAUAUCAAUAAGCGGAGGA
rnacentral:rRNA from 1 species